rnacentral:tmRNA from 1 species
GGGGGCGUUGGGCAUCGACGGUAAAAUCGGUUGUCACUCGCAAGUAGAGACGGUUUCGGGCCUCUUUAAUCUGCCGAAACAACAUAAUAAGUGCCAACUUGUUAUCAAAAGUUAAGAACGCGAUUGCUGUCGCCUUUGGCGGCUGCGGUAGCUGUAACUUAGCUCCGACUUUGGCCUAAGGGCCGGUCGGCAUCGUCUGUGUAAGAUUCCGUAGCACAGAUCCGGUGUAAACCACGGAAAGUAGUUUAUUUUGGCGCCGGACAAAAUAAGCGAAAUUAAUUCGGCUAAGCGAACGUGACUUUUGCGCUUUUCGUACCCGUUCGUCGAAAAAAAUAAAAACGCUAAACUUGUAGAAGGUAAUAAUCGUUUUCAUCGGACGCGAGUUCAACUCUCGCCGCCUCCACAA